rnacentral:rRNA from 1 species
AACGCUGGCGGCAUGCCUUACACAUGCAAGUCGAACGGCAGCACGGGAGCAAUCCUGGUGGCGAGUGGCGAACGGGUGAGUAAUAUAUCGGGAACGUGCCCAGUCGUGGGGGAUAACGUAGCGAAAGCUACGCUAAUACCGCAUACGAUCUAUGGAUGAAAGCGGGGGAUCGCAAGACCUCGGCGCGAUUGGGGCGGCCGAUAUCAGAUUAGCUAGUUGGUGAGGUAAUGGCUCACCAAGGCGACGAUCCGUAACUGGUCUGAGAGGAUGAUCAGUCACACUGGAACUGAGACACGGUCCAGACUCCUACGGGAGGCAGCAGUGGGGAAUAUUGGACAAUGGGCGAAAGCCUGAUCCAGCCAUGCCGCGUGUGUGAAGAAGGUCUUCGGAUUGUAAACUGCUUUUAUACAGGAAGAAACCCUCCCACGUGUGGGAGCUUGACGGUACUGUAGGAAUAAGCACCGGCUAACUACGUG